rnacentral:rRNA from 1 species
GCAAAUCGAGCGGAGUUUUGGUGGUUGCACCAAGACUUAGCGGCGGACGGGUGAGUAAUGCUUAAGAAUUUGCCUAUUAGUGGGGGACAACGUUUUGAAAGGAACGCUAAUACCGCAUACGUCCUACGGGAGAAAGCAGGGGAUCUUUGGACCUUGCGCUAAUAGAUGAGCCUAAGUUGGAUUAGCUAGUUGGUGGGGUAAAGGCCUACCAAGGCGACGAUCUGUAGCGGGUUUGAGAGGAUGAUUCGCCCCACUGGGACUGAGACACGGCCCCGACUCCUUCGGGAGGCAGCAGUGGGAAAUAUUGGACAAUGGGCGAAAGCCUGAUCCAGCCAUGCCGCGUGUGUGAAGAAGGCCCUUUGGUUGUAAAGCACUUUAAGCGAGGAGGAGGAGCUUCAGGUUAAUACCCUGGAUGCUUGGACGUUACUAGCAGAAUAAGCCCCGGCUAACUUUGUG